rnacentral:lncRNA from 1 species
CUCGGUUAAACAUCGCAGCAGGCAUUACAAUACCAGAGGUAACGAAUCAAUUAAAUCCAUUUUCCCCUCGGCGUCUCCAAAGCUGCGUGCCUAGUGUUGCUGUGUAGUUUAGAACCGGAGCAGUAGGACCCAGGGGCCUCCGCAGCCACCAAUAGAAGCGCACACUUGGACCUAUUUGUAUGCAAUGCCUUCUGCUCUGCGCAUUAAUAGUAAUACAGAUAACGGGUUUGAAAGAAUUCUCUACCGAAGAAGGAUUGAAUUUUUCCAGGGUGCUGAUACCGAGAAGAAACCCGACUUCACUCUCUCCCCAUUUUCCCACUCUUAGGUUGAAAAGUCUCAGACACCUUUCGCUUGGUUUAAACUCGGAAAGGUCUCAGUGCACAGCAAAGUUGGAGGGGCUGCGUCUGCACUACGGCGCCGCUAGAUCGCUGAAAACAGGCUUAUCCAAGGAUUUCAGCAUGUCCAGGAAAGAGAGAAUCUCAGCCUGA